CCUACGGGGCGCUGCAGUGGGGAAUAUUGGACAAUGGGCGAAAGCCUGAUCCAGCCAUGCCGCGUGUGUGAAGAAGGCCUUCGGGUUGUAAAGCACUUUCAGUGGGGAAGAAAGCCUUUGGGCUAAUCCCCUCGAGGAAGGACAUCACCCACAGAAGAAGCACCGGCUAACUCCGUGCCAGCAGCCGCGGUAAUACGGAGGGUGCGAGCGUUAAUCGGAAUUACUGGGCGUAAAGCGCGCGUAGGCGGUCUGAUAAGCCGGUUGUGAAAGCCCCGGGCUCAACCUGGGAACAGCAUCCGGAACUGUCAGGAUAGAGUGCAGGAGAGGAAGGUAGAAUUCCCGGUGUAGCGGUGAAAUGCGUAGAGAUCGGGAGGAAUACCAGUGGCGAAGGCGGCCUUCUGGACUGACACUGACGCUGAGGUGCGAAAGCGUGGGUAGCAAACAGGAUUAGAUACCCGGGUAGUC
rnacentral:rRNA from 1 species